rnacentral:lncRNA from 1 species
UGUACUCUUACCAUUUUUCUCCAUGUGAUUGAAUUCUGCCAUUUAUUUAGUUAAAAUUCAAUUCCAUAUGCAUUUUGUUUCCAUUUAAUUUUAUCAUGUUUUGUUUUCUUUGAAUGAUAUACUUUGCGUGUUCUAGUUGAAACCUGGUUUGACCAUCCUAUGUCCACUAUCUGAAUCAAAGCCAGAUUUCAACUAAGUAUCAUCUUUUGUUUGAUUUGUGCAGUUUUAUUUUUAUUGUUUUAUCUCGUGCUUAGGUGUUUAGAAAUUCCAGGUAACUUCUAACUUGCUUGUGCUAAAAGAGGUGCCACUGCAUGAUCAUUUUACCUCUGUAUCAUGCAUUCUUUGAUCCAAUCAUCGAAGUAAUGAAGGAUGAUAUUCCUGAUUGUGUAUAAUUUAGUGGACAAUUUGAUGAUUUUUUUUUUUCAUGGAUAAGACUUAAGACAGGAAUGUUACUAUUAAAAGAAAAAAAAGUCAAGCAUUCGGCAUCAUGUUGCCGCCAAGAUUAGUCUUUAUAUCAUUGCUAAAAUCAUUGAGAGAUCCUGUCCCUAUGGGGGAAAGCCUUUUAAAGUUUAUUCAAGGAAGAAAGAGAAGACCUAAGUAAACUUUAAGUAUGAUUAAUAUAAUUAGAAUUUGAGUCAUGAUAGGUUAUUAGAGUCCUAGUAGAAUAGGUUAUUAGAGUCCUAGUAGAAUAGGUUAUUAAAGUCCUAGUAAACUUUGGAUUUCUUAGAGAAGCCUAUAAAUAGGCUAAUCAAUGUAAAUCAAUGGGAUGAAUUUUGAUGAAUAAUAUUAUACUUUCUUUCAUUGCAAGGUUGCAACCCUCAAUGGUGAGACUCCAUUGAUUUUCUUCUAGGUGAGACUCCUAGAAGGCCUUAGUGAGACUCUAAGGUUUUCCAUCUUUUCUUCAUUGUUUCUUCUUUCUCUCUAUUUCUUAUCUUAUAAUUUUCUCUACCAUAAAGUUUAUUCCUUGUUCCUCUCCUUACACCCUAAAAAUAAAACCCUAGCCCACCUAUCCUUGAGUGUAGGCAACCAUCCUAGGGUUGUCCUACAUCAAUUUUGGUAUCAGAGCCAAAAUUCUUGGCUUGAAGGCAUAUGCAAUUAAGGAGCGGAGCAACUUAUGCAAGCAUGAGUUCCAAAAAAACUUCUAGCAAUCAAGCUGCUGAUACAAUACGCUUGGAGGAAAUUUCAGCCACACAACAAUCCCAUCAAGAUGCUAUAGUACAACUAAAUAGCAAACUUGAUGAGAUCAUGAAGUUAUUAGAAAAGAGCCAAGAAAAACGACCAAUUGAAGAGGAGAUCGCAAGUCAUCAAUUUAAACAAUCGCCAAAUCGAUCACGCGAAGAACAAGACAAUUUUAUGAUGGGGAAUCAAAGAAGGGCCAAACUUUUUGAGCUAGAUGAUGAUGUGACAAAAAAGGUACGUCUUGAAGUUGCUGAAUUUUAUGGAAAACUAAAUCCAACAGCUUUUCUUGAUUGGAUUAUGUCAAUGGAAGAUUACUUUGAUUGGUAUGCAAUGCCCGAAAAUAGAAAAGUUCGUUUUGUGAAGGCAAAGUUAAAAGGAGCAGCACGUCUAUGGUGGCAUAAUAUUGAGAAUCAAGCUCAUAGAACUGGACAGCCGCCUAUUGACACAUGGGACGAGAUGAAGUUGAAGAUGAAGGAGCACUUUCUCACAACUGAUUAUGAACAACUUAUGUAUACAAAAUUGUUUUCCCUUAAACAAGGUACCAAGUCCGUUGAAGAAUAUACAGAAGAAUUCCAUGAAUUGAGCAUUCGAAAUCAAGUGCAAGAAAGUGAUGCUCAACUUGCAGCCCGCUACAAAGCUGGACUUCGAAUGGAGAUUCAACUUGAGAUGAUAGCUGCACACUCUUAUACCGUAGAUGACGUUUAUCAACUAGCCCUCAAAAUAGAAGAAGGCCUCAAAUUCCGGGUUUCCAGGCAUCCAAGUUCACAAAUUGGGAGCACUUUCUCCAACAGGACAACAAGCAAACCUUUAAGCACAUCAAACUUCAGAACUUCUAUUCAUGUGAAUGAUGGGGACAACACUCAACCAACUUCGAAUGUGGCUCAUCAGAAUGGUAAUAAGGGUAAAAAUUCAAUGAGCAAUGGAGAUAGAAAAGUAGACGCGACUCCUUUAUGCUUUAAGUGUGGUGGGCAUGGUCAUUAUGCUGUUGUAUGCCCAACCAAAGGUUUACACUUUUGUGUUGAAGAACCAGAAUCUGAAUUGGAAAGUUACCUAAAGAAAGAAGAGACCUACAAUGAAGAUGAAGUUAGUGAAGAAUGUGACUACUAUGAUGGUAUGACGGAAGGACAUAGUCUUGUAGUACGACCUUUAUUAACCAUUCCAAAAGUAAAAGGAGAAGAAGAUUGGCGACGUAUUAGCAUUUUCCAAACACGUAUUUCUUGCCAUGGGAGAUUAUGCACCAUGAUCAUUGAUGGAGGUAGCAGUUUGAACAUAGCUUCACAAGAACUUGUUGAGAAGCUAAACCUUAAAACAGAGAGACAUCCAAAUCCAUUCAGAGUAGCAUGGGUUAAUGACACCUCUAUCCCGGUAAGUUUUCGUUGUUUAGUAACAUUCCUUUUUGGUAAGGAUUUUGAAGAGUCUGUAUGGUGUGAGGUCUUACCCAUUAAAGUAAGUCAUAUUUUACUUGGAAGACCUUGGCUCUUUGAUAGAAAAGUUCAACAUGACGGCUAUGAAAAUACAUAUGCUCUCAUACACAACGGACGUAAGAAGAUCCUUCGUCCAAUGAAAGAAGUCCCUCUAAUUAAGAAGUCGAAUGAGAAUGCACAACCAAAAAAGGUACUUACUAUGUGUCAAUUUGAAAAUGAGAGCAAGGAAACUGAAGUUAUUUUUGCUUUAAUGGCUCGGAAAGUGGAAGAAUUUAAAGAACAAGAUAAGGAAUAUCCAGCAAACGCACGUAAAAUCCUUGAUGACUUUUCUGACUUGUGGCCUGUAGAGUUACCUAAUGAACUCCCUCCUAUGCGUGACAUACAACAUGCCAUUGAUUUGAUUCCCGGUGCAUCAUUACCAAAUUUACCAGCCUACAGAAUGAAUCCAACAGAGCAUGCUGAAUUGAAAAAGGCAAGUUGAUGAAUUACUUACUAAAGGCUUUAUUCGUGAAAGCCUAAGUCCUUGUGGAGUUCCUGCCCUACUAACACCAAAGAAGGAUGGAUCAUGGCGGAUGUGUGUGGAUAGUCGUGCAAUCAACAAAAUCACAAUCAAGUAUCGAUUUCCAAUUCCAAGACUUGAUGACAUGCUAGAUAUGAUGGUUGGAUCAAUAGUCUUCUCAAAGAUUGAUCUAAGAAGUGGAUAUCAUCAAAUACGUAUUAGACCAGGGGAUGAAUGGAAGACAUCUUUCAAAACAAAGGAUGGAUUGUAUAAGUGGUUAGUCAUGCCGUUUGGACUAACCAAUGCUCCAAGUACUUUCAUGCGGAUUAUGACGCAGGUAUUAAAACCUUUUAUUGGACGGUUUGUUGUUGUCUAUUUUGAUGAUAUUCUUAUCUAUAGUCGAUCUUGUAAAGAUCAUGAGGAACACUUGAAGCAAGUAAUGCGCACUCUUAGGGCUGAAAAGUUUUACAUUAAUUUGAAAAAAUGUACUUUCAUGAGCCCUAGUGUUGUAUUUCUUGGCUUUGUUGUGUCUUCUAAGGGUGUUGAAACAGAUCCGGAGAAGAUCAAAGCUAUUGUUGAUUGGCUAGUACCAACAAAUAUCCAUGAGGUGCGAAGCUUCCAUGGAAUGGCUACAUUCUAUCGACGAUUUAUUCGAAAUUUCAGCUCCAUUAUGGCCCCAAUUACUGAAUGCAUGAAACCUGGUUUAUUUAUUUGGACCAAGGCGGCCAACAAGGCAUUUGAAGAAAUCAAAUCCAAGAUGGUGAACCCUUUUAGCCCACGUCCUGAGAUCGAGUAUUUUUUUUAUGAUCAACUUGUGUCUACUCGACAAGGUGGAUACCAAAAAUUUUUGGUAAAAUGGCGAGGCAAACCACACUCUGAGAAUACAUGGAGUACGACAACGGAUUUUCAGAAGAUUAACCCCAAUUUCUAUGAAUUGUAUCAAGCAUCUAACUCGUCGGAGCCGAGUUCUUUCAAGCCGGGGAGAAUUGAUGGGGGAAAGCCUUUUAAAGUUUAUUCAAGGAAGAAAGAGAAGACCUAAGUAAACUUUAAGUAUGAUUAAUAUAAUUAGAAUUUGAGUCAUGAUAGGUUAUUAGAGUCCUAGUAGAAUAGGUUAUUAGAGUCCUAGUAGAAUAGGUUAUUAAAGUCCUAGUAAACUUUGGAUUUCUUAGAGAAGCCUAUAAAUAGGCUAAUCAAUGUAAAUCAAAGGGAUGAAUUUUGAUGAAUAAUAUUAUACUUUCUUUCAUUGCAAGGUUGCAACCCUCAAUGGUGAGACUCCAUUGAUUUUCUUCUAGGUGAGACUCCUAGAAGGCCUUAGUGAGACUCUAAGGUUUUCCAUCUUUUCUUCAUUGUUUCUUCUUUCUCUCUAUUUCUUAUCUUAUAAUUUUCUCUACCAUAAAGUUUAUUCCUUGUUCCUCUCCUUACACCCUAAAAAUAAAACCCUAGCCCACCUAUCCUUGAGUGUAGGCAACCAUCCUAGGGUUGUCCUACAUCAUCCUGUCCCUAACAUCCCUAGUCCAUGUUGGGAAGUGGUAGCAUGUCUGUGCCAUGCACACAGUCCAUAGAUGCAUAAUUACCACUCAGAAAAAGGUGUAUGACAGGGUAAGAGGAAUGUCAGACUUCAGUGUUUUUGAUAUAUGUAUAUGCGUGCCUCUUUCUAAAUAUACUCUCAUCAAUUUGUUCAAGAUGAUGUGACUGUCCCAAGUGCUGUGAUUUAUGCUAUGCAUUAAAUACUAAGUUAGUUCCUCAGUAUUGGUUUAUCCUGAGUCCAUGUUGAAAAAUGGCCCCAUGUCCAUGCCCAUGUUUCAUAGAUACAUGAUUAUGGGAAAGAGGUGUAUGACAGAAUAAAAGGAAUAUCGCUGAUAAAAAAAAGAAGAAUAAAAGGAAUAUCAGACUUCAGCGAUCUGAAGUGUACUUAUGCAUGCUUGGGUGUGUGUUUGUGUGUCACUCUCUGAAUCUGAUGCUGACUCCCUUGGUUCUUGUGAUUCCUUGCAUUAAACAACAGUUGACACUUCCUUAGCAGCAAGCUGUCUUUUAACAUGUUGGACUGGCAGGUCAUUUGUUCCUUUUUUUGUUCAUGAUUUGUUGUUUAAAACCACUGUAUAUAAUGGAUUUUCUGAGCAUUUGGUUGUAUGAUGUAGCAUCUUUACUGAUGUUGUAUAUAUGUGCCUAUGCUACCUUUAAACAUCUCGUAUGUUGCAUGCUGG